GGAACCUUUAAGCUGAUGUGCAUGUUUGCCUUACGGACAUUUGUUGCAGACGGACGCGCCGUUCGGCCAUUGAAAAACAGCCCAAAAACGACAAACAUGGCUCGGUAAAUGAUAUUAAGACACCUUUUAGAAAGUCUUUGCCAGGGGACCAGCAGGUGGCAGUAGCGAAUACCGCGCACUCAAACCCGCCUGCAGCUGCGUGAAAAAUGAGCUCCAACACUAAUAAAGAGAGAAGGUGGGAUUGGCUCCAGCGCUCCUGCGAAACUCGUGAGGAUAAGCGGCUCAGAAACUGGAUGGAUGGAUGAAUGUCGCGAGUUCGUCCUUCCAGAAGAGUGUGACUGUGCCGCGAUUGGCUGGCGACACAACAUCAGAUGAAAAUGGAUGCAGUACCACUGAUUGGUCAGCAGUCACUCGGCACGUGUACAAGAUUUGUCGACGUAAGAUCGCAUUGGCUAUAAACUGCCUUGUCAAAGAUCCAUUUGAACUUUUUUUUUUUUAUUAACUAGGUCUGAGUAUUAAAGGGCAAACUGUAACCACACUGAUUCCAUUUUUAGGAGGAAAAAAAAAAUCAAAGGAAUAAAAAAAGAUCAUACUUCGUAACAAUCCAAAGCGC